UACAGAGGUCUCAAGCGUUGUUCGGAUUCAUUGGGCGUAAAGGGUGCGUAGGCGGCGCGGUAAGUCGGGUGUGAAAUCUUGGAGCUUAACUCCGAAACUGCAUUCGAUACUGCCGUGCUUGAGGACUGGAGAGGAGACUGGAAUUUACGGUGUAGCGGUGAAAUGCGUAGAUAUCGUAAGGAAGACCAGGGGCGAAGGCGGGUCUCUGGACAGAUCCGGACGCUGAGGCACGAAGGCCGGGGGAGCAAAUGGG
rnacentral:rRNA from 1 species